GUAAUUACUUAAUCUCCUUGAGCUUUGGGUUUUUUUUGUUUGUUUGUAAAUUGGAAACGGUACUAUCUCUAUUUCAUGACUUUUGUAUUAGAAAAUGUACAUAAAGAAAAAUGUAGUUUAGCACUUAGAUAUGUACACAUUUAUAAUUUGAGGGGGAUUCAAAUGUUGGUUUUUAAUAUUUGAAGAUUCAAAGAAAAGUGCGUUUCCUACCAAAAAUUACCAUCCCACCUGUAACUCUUCUAAAUUUGAAUAACAGCAGUUAACAGUUAGGCAGUCACUUCUGAAAGGUUGUCAAUUCUCUUUGUGUUCAGACUCAGAGGGAUUUCCUCAAUGUUUAUGAAGUUGGCCUGAAGAAACAGUUACUUCAACCCCUCUUUGCGAACCACAGGAAACGGAAUAUAGGGCAGAGUGCUUCUAGGGCAUUUAUAGGAGGUGGUCUCUGAUUGGCUGGGCAACCAGGAGCAGAAUCCUGUUUUCUGAAGCAGAAUAUUUCCACAGAUUUUGGCUGCAAAACAUUUUUCUGCUGAGAGCACCUGAGCAGGGAACAUGGAGAAGAAUCCUUUGGCAGCCCCAUUACUAAUACUCUGGCUUCAUCUUGACUGCGUGAGCAGCAUAACGAACGUGGAACAAAGCCCUCAGUCACUGCGUGUUCAGGAGGGAGACAGCACCAAUUUCACCUGCAGGUUCCCUUCCAGCAAUUUUUAUGCCUUACACUGGUACAGAUGGGAAACUGCAAAAAGCCCCAAGAACUUGUUUGUAAUGACUUUAAACGGGGAUGAAAAGAAGAAAGGACGAAUAAAUGUCACCCUUAAUACAAAGGAGGGUUACAGCUAUUUGUACAUCAAAGGAUCCCAGCCUGAAGACUCAGCCACAUACCUCUGUGCCAUUACACAGUGCUAUUCAGACACCUGCAGCCCAUUCGCAAACCUGUGGCUGGUGUUGCACUGCUACUCGGUUUCGACAAAGAACUGUGAGUAGGAUGGAAAAGAUAGGUUGGAAAAGACAAAUUCCUUGAAUUACAGUUUUUUUUCAAGAGGAUUAUGGAAACAGAAAAAUAAGCAUGCUAGUAAUCACAGCUAAUUACCACAAAAGCUAAUUAAGUAAACCUAUUUUUUAUGAUAGAUAUCAGAGUGCUAAUGAAGCAUAACACCUUACCUGGUAACUUGGCUGUUACUAAACAAUACUAACCCCAGCUCCCAACAACACAAUAACUACGUCAUUGACUCAGACCCAUCGUCUGCUCCUUUGGCAUGAUUCUGAAAGAACCCAAUAGUCACUCAAUCCUAUCUAAAACAAUUGGGUAAAUAAAGGUAAUGUUUACCCCCUCAUUGAUCCUAUGUCCUAAAAAUGAGUUCUUCUAUCAUAUUUUUUCCACAAGCACAAAUGGAGCAUGUGGCAUGCCCCUUCCUCACACACCUGGCAAGGAAAUAUGCACGUUUAAUACCAGAGCGAGUGAUGUCGCCUCCUUUAAUCCACUGGGGAUUUUGGUUUUGCUUCAGUUCAACUUUCCCCCUACAUGAACAUUUGCAUUUUUAUUUCUUCUCACAUGUGGCUAUUUUCAUUUUUAAAUAUCACUCACAAUAUCAUAAAGGAGCACUGAUGAAGGCUCUUCGCUAUUAAUAUGGUCUAUCCCCCCGCCUGUACUGUGAUUGUGAUAUUGGAUGACCAACUGAACUCUAUUAUCAAAGUCUCUUCAUUUGUAAUUUCCAGGUAUAUGAAGCAGGUUGAGUGUCUGGUGCUCUGCUCUUUCUGCAGAUUUCCAAACAACCCAUCAGUUUAAGGUUCCAUUGGUAUUCUAGAGGUCUCUAAUUCCAAGCUUCCUUGGGGGUUAAGAUGAAGUAACUUGCUUUUGGUCCUCUCAUCUAAAAGCUAGAGUUUCAACUUUCUCUAAACAUCUACAAUUAAUCAUUUCUUAUCCAACUCCUGUCCAGUUUCCUAAAUUAUGCUGCUAUUGCACUUUCUCUCUCUUUUGUGAAUUUGUUUUUUAAAUCUUAUUAUUGUUAUCACAUAUUUGGAAAAAAAACUAUAUAUUUAAAAAUAAUAUUGGAGUGUAUACACAUCCCUUAGACUGGAUCCAUUUAGAGAUAUAUACAUAGAAAUAUUUUUUUCAAAAUUUAUUCACGUGGUAGUAAUGAAUCUAUUUGACUAUCAGAUUGGGAGAGGCUAAAUUUGUAAUAUUAUCUGAACGUAUACGGAAUUGGGAGCAUAUAGCUCAGGAAUAAGUGCAGAGAGGCUACAGUUCAUUGUAUACUAGUGUUGGUGGAGAAGAACUACACAAAAGAAGACUGAUCACUCUUCCAGCUGCUGGACAAAUUUCCAAACCAGCUCUCCAUUAUUAUUGUCAAAAAGAUCAAUGGAAGAAUUUCUAAUAUUUCCAGCAAUGAUCUUGUAGUUUGAACUAACUCUGAAUUGGCAGAAUCAAAAGGCUGGAUAAAAGAAAAGAUGAACCUCUGGCUCAUUUGCAUGUGGCUGCAACACAAUGCCUCAGUCUCCUUCAUAUCAAAGCACACAUAGAAAUUGAUUACGUUCAUGCAACACUUCAGUGUGGAAUGAUGCUGCUUGAAACCAGCCCAUGAUUCCAACUUCCUUGAGAACUCUGCCUGCCUUAGGCUGCGAUGAUAUAGAGAUCUUCCCACACACCUGAUCAAUUCCUGGAUAUA